GAGCGCGUGUAGCAAUACACGAGCGGCAGACGGGAGAGUAACACGUGGGAACGUACCCUUCGGUUCGGAAUAACCCAGGGAAACUUGGACUAAUACCGGAUACGUCCGAAAGGAGAAAGAUUUAUCGCCGAAGGAUCGGCCCGCGGCUGAUUAGCUAGUUGGUGAGGUAACGGCUCACCAAGGCGACGAUCGGUAGCUGGUCUGAGAGGAUGAUCAGCCACACUGGGACUGAGACACGGCCCAGACUCCUACGGGAGGCAGCAGUGGGGAAUAUUGGACAAUGGGCGAAAGCCUGAUCCAGCAAUGCCGCGUGAGUGAUGAAGGCCUUAGGGUUGUAAAGCUCUUUUACCAGGGAUGAUAAUGACAGUACCUGGAGAAUAAGCUCCGGCUAACUCCGUG
rnacentral:rRNA from 1 species